UAACACAACAUUAAUUUAGUUUGCAAAAGCAAUCCCUGCAAAUUAAAAGCAAAUGCAACUAAGGAACCAACUAUAUAUGAGGCUAGUGGCAUAAUCAUACAGAAAUGAACUAUUUCAGAUCACUUAAGUAAACCAGUAAAAUGACAUGAUAUCCACAGAGAUGUAUACACUGAGAAGCAAAAUACUCAAAAUGCAAAUUAAAAAAUUAAUCUCAAUGCAGGUUAGUAAUCAUAUUGUCACUGAGAGUGUUGAUAUUUUGAAGCCAGCUAGACAAACUUCACCAAGAAUACACCCAAAUUCAAACAAAACAAGGCUUAUUAAAUUGUAACAGUAUCCUGGCAAGAAUGUGAAGAAAAGGGAAACUUUGUACACUGUUGGUGGGAAUGUAAAUUAGUAAAACCACUGCAGAUAAUAGUACGGAGGUUCCUCAAAACACUAAAAAUAGAGCUACCCACUGUUAGCUAUAUACCCAAAAGAAAGCAAAUUGAUAUAUCGAAGAGUUAUCUGUCCUCCCAUGCUUGUUGCAGUACUGUUCACAGUAGCCAGGAUUUGGAAGCAACGUAAGUGUCCAUCAACAGAUGAACAGAUGAAGACAAUGUGCUACACACAAACAAUGGCGUACUAUUGAGCCAUAAAAAAGAAUGAGAUCCUGUCAUUUUCAACAACAUAGAUGGAACUGGAGAUCAUUAAGUGAAAUAAGCCGGACACAGAAAGACAAACAUUGCGUUCUCUCACUUAUAUGUGGGAUCUAAAAAUCAAGACAAUUGAAGGCAUGGACAUAGAAUGUAGAAGGAUGGUUAUCAGAGGCUGGGAAGGGCAGUGGGACAGGGGAUGUUUGCGGUGGAAAUGAGGGUGAUUAAUGGAUACAAAAUGUAACUAGAAAGAAUAAAUAGGACCUUUUAUUUGAUAACCCAACAGGUGACUCUAGCAAUAAUUAUUUAAUUGUAUAUUUUUCAAUGGCUAAACGAGUAUAAUUGGAUUGAUGUAACACAAAGGAUUAAUGCUUGAGGGGAUGAUAACCCAUUCUCUAUGAUGUGAUUAUUAUUCUGCAUUGCAUACCUGCAUGAAAACAUCUUAUGUACCCCAUAAAUAUAUAUCUACUAUGUACUCACAAAAUUUAAAAGCAACCAACUAAAUAAAUAAAUUUCUACAGCAAAGAAGUAGAGGACCUAUGGAUCAUCUCAGUAAGGGAGGUGGGAAGUGUUUAUUAUGCGAUUGGGGCUUUUAUUAAAAAUUUUGGGAUGGAGUCCAAGAAAAUAAAUCAGUUGCUAUCACACUGGGACAAUUCAGUGAUUGAUUGUCUUAAUAUAUUUUAUUAAAAGACUAGAGAAAUAUAGGUGAGCUAAGCUUAUCAUUGUUACUAAAACUAUAGUAACUCAUAUGAGCUGAAAGAGGAAAAGAUUAGGUUGUCGAAUACCAAUAUUGAGAAGGGAAACAAACAAAGAACAAUAGCAACAACAGUGCCAUGAUGGCCAACUGCUGGACUUUGGCAACCAACAGCUAGGCCAUGAUGCUCUUCUUGAUCUAAAAAUGUUUCUGAAGAAGAUCAACAAUAAUCAGACAGACUCAUUUUGACCACGGUAGAAUAAGAUAAAAGCAAAAUGACUCUUUUUUCUUGUUUUGUUUUGAGACAGAGUCUUGCUCUGUCACCCCAGGCUGGAGUGCAGUGGCACGAUCUUGGCUGACUGCAACCUACGCCUCCCAGAUUCAAGCAAUUCUCCUGCCUCAGCUUCCUGAGUAGCUGGGAUUACAGGUGGAUUCCACCACUCCCGGCUAAAUUUUUGUAUUUUUAGUAGAGAUGGGGCUUCACCAUGUUGGCCAGGCUGGUCUCGAACUCCUGACCUCAGGUGAUCCGCCUGCCACGGCCUCCCAAAGUGGUGAAAUUACAGGCGUGAGUCUCCAGGCCCAGCCAGGCAAAAUUACUCUUUAAUUCCAUCUGAACACAGAAACAAGGAUAGAUGCCAUUAUGUAAAUAAUCAAAUAAACCUCUCUUCCAGCUGACAUGCAUGACUACUCUUCCAUUUCUUGUAAAAACUAUUGUCCUAGGUUGUUCCUUCUGCCUCUUCCUAAAAAUUGUUAAGACCUCCAGUCUCCUAUUUAUUACAAUUUCCGAUUGGUCUCAAUACAAGACAAACUUUCCUUUGAACUUUAAAAAAACUGCCUAUGAUAAAUCAUCAUCUGUAAUAAAUAUCUCAUAACUCCCUCUUACUGAAACACUUUAUCGUUUCUCUGAUCAAUUCUUGUUUUCUAUGGCAAGUUAAUAAACCUGUCUUUGUUUGACUACAUGCAUGUUUCUGGUGGUCACUAACUGAUGGACUUCAAAAAAACUACAAAGUCCACCAAAAUUUGUCUGAAACUCUUGCUUCAAUGGACCAGAGCCCUUCACUUGAUAACGAAUAGGGGAUACAUCCUUGCCACCUUGCAUCUCUACUGGCUCAGAAGGAAGGCCACCCUUCCCAGAAUCUCAAGAUAACUUUUCUGAGCUCUGAUUAUUUCAUCAAGGCUGUCAGAAUUAAUUUUUAAAUUUAUUGUCCUGGGAAUAGAUAAAACCAAUAUUCCUUAGGAAUAGAAUCUCCACUAUAGGCUUGGCGUCGUGGCUCACACUUGUAAUCCCAGCUCUUUGGGAGGCCGAGGUGGUGGAUCACCUGUGGUCAGGAGUUCAAGACCAGCCUGGCCAACAUGGCGAAACCCUGUCUCUACCAAAAAUAUAAAAAAUUAUCUGGGCA
rnacentral:lncRNA from 1 species